UAAGACGAACCGUGCGAACGUUGUUCGGAAUCACUGGGCUUAAAGGGCGCGUAGGCGGGCGGCCACGUCUGGGGUGAAAGCCCCCGGCUUAACCGGGGAAUCGCCCCCGAUACGGGCCGCCUCGAGGGGGGUAGGGGCGCGCGGAACUUCCGGUGGAGCGGUGAAAUGUGUUGAGAUCGGAAGGAACGCCGGCGGCGAAAGCGGCGCGCUGGGCCCACCCUGACGCUGAGGCGCGAAAGCCAGGGGAGCGAACGGGAUUAGAUACCCCGGUAGUCCUGGCCCUAAACGAUGGGUACCGGGUAGGGGGCCGGCCUGGCCCCCUGCCGGAGCGAAAGCGUUCAGUACCCCGCCUGGGGAGUAUGGCCGCAAGGCUG
rnacentral:rRNA from 1 species